AUGAGCUCACUGGUUCUACUGCUGGCCACCCUGGGGCUCCUGGUUCAGGGUUCAUCAGGACAAAUCACCGUGACUCAGUCUCCUGAAUCUCAGUCUGUUGUUCCAGGACAGACUGUCUCCAUCAGAUGUAAAACCAGUUCAAGCGUUAGUGGCUGGCUGAGCUGGUACCUUCAGAAACCUGGAGAAGCUCCUAAACCCCUGAUUUAUAGAGCUACAAACCGUCAGUCUGGAGUUCCAGGUCGUUUCAGUGGAAGUGGAUCUGGGACUGACUUCACUCUGACCAUCAGUGGAGUUCAGGCUGAAGAUUCAGGAGUUUACUACUGUCAGCAGGGUUACAGCAACCCGUUCACACAAGUCCAGCCUGAGGGGAAGCCCUUGUUGGCCAGACACAUGAGCGUGGCCUUCCCCUGCUGCAGCUCCUUCCUGGAGGGGGGCAGCACCGUCAGGGUGGAGAUGACUCAACCCACUGCAGAGAGAAAGAACAAAUUUUGA